rnacentral:rRNA from 1 species
CCUACGGGGGGCUGCAGGCGCGAAAACUUUACAAUGCGGGAAACCGCGAUAAGGGGACACCGAGUGCCAGCAUCCUAUGUUGGCUGUCCAUAUGUCUAAAUCACAUGUGUUAGCAAGGGCCGGGCAAGACCGGUGCCAGCCGCCGCGGUAACACCGGCGGCCCGAGUGGUGGCCACUAUUAUUGGGUCUAAAGGGUCCGUAGCCGGUUUGGUCAGUCUUCCGGGAAAUCUGACGGCUCAACCGUUAGGCUUUCGGGGGAUACUACCAGGCUUGGGACCGGGAGAGGUAAGAGGUACUACGGGGGUAGGAGUGAAAUCUUGUAAUCCCUGUGGGACCACCAGUGGCGAAGGCGUCUUACCAGAACGGGUCCGACGGUGAGGGACGAAAGCUGGGGGCACGAACCGGAUUAGAUACCCUGGUAGUC